UACGUAGGGUGCGAGCGUUAAUCGGAAUUACUGGGCGUAAAGCGUGCGCAGGCGGUUUUGUAAGCCAGAUGUGAAAUCCCCGGGCUUAACCUGGGAAUGGCAUUUGGGACUGCAAGGCUUGAGUGCGGCAGAGGAGACUGGAAUUCCUGGUGUAGCGGUGAAAUGCGCAGAUAUCAGGAAGAACACCCGUGGCUAAGGCGGCUCUCUAGUACGGUACUGACGCUGAGACGCGAAAGCGUGGGGAGCGAACAGG
rnacentral:rRNA from 1 species